rnacentral:rRNA from 1 species
GAUGAACGCUGGCGGCGUGCCUAAUACAUGCAAGUCGAGCGAACAGACGAGGAGCUUGCUCCUCUGACGUUAGCGGCGGACGGGUGAGUAACACGUGGAUAACCUACCUAUAAGACUGGGAUAACUUCGGGAAACCGGAGCUAAUACCGGAUAAUAUAUUGAACCGCAUUGUUCAAUAGUGAAAGACGGUUUUGCUGUCACUUAUAGAUGGAUCCGCGCCGCAUUAGCUAGUUGGUAAGGUAACGGCUUACCAAGGCGACGAUGCGUAGCCGACCUGAGAGGGUGAUCGGCCACACUGGAACUGAGACACGGCACAGACUCCUACGGGAGGCAGCAGUAGGGAAUCUUCCGCAAUGGGCGAGAGCCUGACGGAGCAACGCCGCGUGAGUGAUGAAGGUCUUCGGAUCGUAAAACUCUGUUAUUAGGGAAGAACAAAUGUGUAAGUAACUAUGCACGUCUUGACGGUACCUAAUCAGAAAGCCACGGCUAACUACGUG